rnacentral:rRNA from 1 species
GACGAACGCUGGCGGCGUGCUUAACACAUGCAAGUCGAACGGAAAGGCCCUGCUCUUGUGGGGUGCUCGAGUGGCGAACGGGUGAGUAACACGUGAGUAACCUGCCCUUGACUUUGGGAUAACUUUAGGAAACUGGGGCUAAUAUCGGAUAGGAGCUCUUGCUGCAUGGUGGGGGUUGGAAAGUUUCGGCGGUUGGGGAUGGACUCGCGGCUUAUCAGCUUGUUGGUGGGGUAGUGGCUUACCAAGGCUUUGACGGGUAGCCGGCCUGAGAGGGUGACCGGCCACAUUGGGACUGAGGUACGGCCCAGACUCCUACGGGAGGCAGCAGUGGGGAAUAUUGCGCAAUGGGCGGAAGCCUGAUGCAGCAACGCCGCGUGCGGGAUGACGGCCUUCGGGUUGUAAACCGCUUUCGCCUGUGACGAAGCGUGAGUGACGGUAAUGAGUAAAGAAGCACCGGCUAACUACGUG